rnacentral:tRNA from 1 species
UGGUAGAGCAGCGGAUUUGUAAUUCGAAGGUUGGGAGUUCGAGUCUCUCUGCCGGCACCA